UCAUGUACACUUACUUGGCAUGUGUUCAUAGGGAGUUUGAGACAUGUUAGCUGCUCGACUUUAUGAAAUCGAUUUGCUCGCCUAAUGAAGGGUUAAUAAUUCCAAGCUGCAUUUAAAAUAUAUACCGUUUGAUUCAGAAAUUCGUGAAAUUAAGCCUUAGGAAAGUUUUGGAAAGGAUCUGUCUGUGCUAGCUGUGUAUUUUCUAUCUUCUCUAGUCGACGCUACACCAGCUAAUGAGAGCUAAUGACACGUGACAUUAAUGUCAAAAAUGCAGCUUGACAGAAUUCUUGUAUGCAACCGAAUGUCCCCGCAGAUUGCAUUAAUGAUUAUACAACGUGUUAGGUAAUGAUUUAUCGCAUAUAUUUUUUCAUUGCCGUCGAAGUCAUAAAAGCGUUAAAUCUCGAAAUGAAGUUCGGUGUAACGUUACCUUACUGGCCGUAAGCGUGCGAAGGAAAGAAAGGGACAUGUUGACGGAGAACACAUCCGGAAGUAACGUUAGCUGAGAUGGUUCACGGCAGAUGGGGUUUCCAUUUCACUAGUUCUUUGGAGCAUGGUGACUACAGGUUUAACACGAUGAAGUGAAAGUUGCAUGUUUAGUAAUCGGAUAGUGAGAAGAUGGUGCGGUUCUUGGCGCAAUAAGGAGUAGCUAAUGCGUCUUUGACAGUCUGUCUGAUCUGCAGCAGCUGAGAGUCCCAGUCUGCUUCACCAUGCCACUGGUGGUGGAUGCUGUGUGGGUGCUGUGGAGCAUUGGAGCUGGCAUCUAUGACUACUUCCACACCAGUGCCAUGGAGGAGAGGAUCCACACACUGGAAAAUGUCCUCUCUAUUCACCAGUUUGUGAUCGCAGCCCUGUCAGCAGGUCUUAUCCUGCUCAUGACCUACAUACUAUGGAGAAAACAUUAAACUUUGCUGACAGAUGCACCCACUUGAUGUUCAUUUAUUGCACAAUAUGUUGUAUUACCCAGGGUAGUUUUGAUCAAGAUGUUGGCCAGAGUGAGAGUCUGGCUCAUACAGCUUCUCACACUUGGGAUCAUGCAUGUUCAGAACGUUUGGGAUGUCCCAGAUGAGGUCAGAAGCACUGAUGGGCAACCAAACCGAGUAACGCCACACCAUAAGGACAUGGUCUCAAAUGACUUGUCAGGUACCCUUCAGGUAGU